rnacentral:rRNA from 1 species
AUUGAACGCUGGCGGCAGGCCUAACACAUGCAAGUCGAGCGGAUGAAGGGAGCUUGCUCCUGGAUUCAGCGGCGGACGGGUGAGUAAUGCCUAGGAAUCUGCCUGGUAGUGGGGGAUAACGUCCGGAAACGGGCGCUAAUACCGCAUACGUCCUGAGGGAGAAAGUGGGGGAUCUUCGGACCUCACGCUAUCAGAUGAGCCUAGGUCGGAUUAGCUAGUUGGUGGGGUAAAGGCCUACCAAGGCGACGAUCCGUAACCGGUCUGAGAGGAUGAUCAGUCACACUGGAACUGAGACACGGUCCAGACUCCUACGGGAGGCAGCAGUGGGGAAUAUUGGACAAAGGGCGAAAGCCUGAUCCAGCCAUGCCGCGUGUGUGAAGAAGGUCUUCGGAUUGUAAAGCACUUUAAGUUGGGAGGAAGGGCAGUAAGUUAAUACCCUGCUGUUUUGACGUUACCAACAGAAUAAGCACCGGCUAACUUCGUG